rnacentral:rRNA from 1 species
AAUAUUGCGCAAUGGGCGAAAGCCUGACGCAGCGACGCCGCGUGAGUGAUGAAGGCCUUCGGGUCGUAAAACUCUGUCCCCAGGGAAGAAAAUUUGACGGUACCUGCGGAGGAAGCACCGGCUAACUACGUGCCAGCAGCCGCGGUGAUACGUAGGGCGCAGGCGGUGGCCGGAUUUAUUGGGCGUAAAGCGCUCGUAUGUGGUUAGUCGCGUCUGCUGUGAAAACUCGAGGCUUAACCUCGAGCUUGCAGUGGGUACGGGCUGACUAGAGUGCGGUAGGGGAGACUGGAAUUCCUGGUGUAGCGGUGGAAUGCGCAGAUAUCAGGAGGAACACCGAUGGCGAAGGCAGGUCUCUGGGCCGUAACUGACACUGAGGAGCGAAAGCGUGGGGAGCGAACA